AAAGAAAAGAAAAAAAUCAACAUCAUGAUACUUCAACAUGAAAUAUUAGAAUAUUACAAAUAAAGAAUAAAUUCAAAGGCUUCCAAAGAGAUUAAAGUUGCAUAAAGGAAUUAAGAAACUGGAUGAGUUGUGGACUUCUCAAUAAAAGAUGUUAGAAGAUAUUAGAAAUCAAUUGGAGUAAUGCCUUCAAAUGUUUGAAAAACUUACAUUCAACAUAAAAUUGUAUCUGUAAAUUGCCAAAUAUGAUGAAUUGAAAACAUUUUCAGAUAUGCAUGGAUUUCCAAAAUAUCCUAUUUACUUCUCUUGCAGACUUUCCUUGGUUGCCUUUGGAAGAUGUGGUUCAGAACAAUGAAGGAAUAAACCAAGAAAGAUGAAGGCAAGAGAUCCAUAGUCAAGGUUGCCUGUUCACUUUGGUUGGUUUCCUUUGCUGUUGCCGAAGCUUAUAUCUCGCUGUACUGUACUCACUCUUGCUGUGAUGAUGUGAGAUGAUAAAAUGCCUACACGAUGAG